CGGGUGGUGAACUACAGAGCGAGUGACCCUGAGGCUUGCCAGCUGGAACAGAGGGCCUCUGGGAAGAGGAGAGGCCGUCGGAAUUAACCGGCCCUUGUCCAACUCGCAAACAGUACAGUGGUGCACGAACUGUACCAUAGAGAGUAAUGCAGGUGUUACAGUUGGAGGCCCAUCGGCAAGAUAGGGAAGUAGAGGACCCCUGACAGAUUGCGCUCAGAAGGCUGGCCAGCAGGAUGCUGACAGUCCAGUAUGGCUACCUGAGCACCUGGUGCGUGCUGUGGAUUUUCCUGCCAAGGAGCCUGAGGACAGGAUAAGGCCAAGAGAUCAAAUGGACACUGGUGAAGAAUCUUCUGUCUCUGAUGCUGGUGGGAUUGGAUAGCCUUGUGUGGCCCUAUAUCUUAUCUACCAAUUUUAGCACAAAUAAACCCACUGUGCCUUUGGAUACCA